rnacentral:lncRNA from 1 species
UUGGCACUUCCAAAACUUUUGUCUACUGCAGCUGGAUGUCAAAUGGCUGGAUUCUUUCCUUUUACAGCUUCACAGAAUGGAAGUGGAGGCAUAGCUGGGAGUCUCCAGAGAGGAGUGACUUCAUUCCUACCUUGCCUUGUCAUGGAAAACAAAGGUGAUCCACCUCAGACUUUGUUGAAGGAACAUAGAAUCAUGGAAUGGCUGAGGUUGGGAGAGGCAGCUGGAGGAAUUCUCGUUCAACCUGCUCCUUGUCAAGCAAGAACACCAAAAAACAGGUGAGCAGGGUCAUGUCUCAGUCUUCCUGAUUAUUAUUUUAUUUAACAGAACUUGCUUUCCUUAGUUUCUG